GGUGCGGAAGCCGAAAAGCAUACAGAGUAGGUA
rnacentral:ncRNA from 1 species